CCAACCCAAAAUAGAUUUACCCAUUCUCUAAUAUCUUCUAAUCCCUAAAUUUUCCCCAAAAGAAUCAGCAGACACUGUUAAGAUUCAUUGUCGAGCUAACAUACAUCUGACUUGAAUCCCUAAAUCUCCUUUUUUGCAAACUCCAUUAAAGUUUCUUAUCCUUUUUAUAACUUUUGAAAACUGCAGAUAUAUAAGUUGAAAAGCUUUGGAAGCCAUUUGAGCAACUCCUGCCAUGAACAAGCAUGUAAUGGAAUCUUCAUGUUCAUAGGGUAAGCUUUUCUUAUUUUGCUUUUAAAAACAGUUGUGGGUCAUUUUCGUAUUACUCUAGACCGCCAUACUUGAAGUUCCCUAGUUCUUGAACUUGUGUCCUCAGUUCUCACGAUAGAGCCCUCUGCUUCUAGAUUUUUACUUAGUUCUUUGAUUUAUUGAUUUGUUCAUAUGCGGUGAAUGGUGCUUGUAGUUGAUUUGCGUCCUUGUUUUAUUCCAUUGGUCCCGUAGUCUUGCUCAUUGUUGGCUUAAAUUGGUUAUGAAUAAUUUCAGCGCCUACUAUGUUUCCCACUGCAAUGCUUUCAUUGCAACCCCUUCAUUUUAAAAUAUUGCUGCAGGCUUUCUUUUGCUUUCGUUUUCAGUUGUAUAAUUGCUUUCAUUUGUCCCUGGUUGACGUCUGGUAUUGUAUCUAUUACACAAGACCUUUUCCUAUAAAUACUUUCAGGAAUUAUAAAGAAUGGGUCAACUCUCCAAUAAUACCAAGUCUACAUUUAAUCAACCUAAUUUCAACUCUCAGCCUAAAUACUCUUAUCACCUCCACUCUCUAAAACUUCUAGCUCCCAGUCUUCAUUGAGUGAAUCGACCUCUAUAACGAUGACCACUCUCUUUUUUAUACCACCUCCCUAUUGUAUCACUAUAUCAAUAAAUAUAUAUUUCACCCACAUACUAAAUGUAGACGUAUCUAGUUUUCAACCAUGGCUUUAAAUUCAACUAGUUUAAAAUGGUAUUAUGAGUCAUUCAAUUUGUUAGAAUAAGGAAAUUAAUAAAGUUGAAAAAUGUUCGGUAAAAAAGUUGAAAAUGUGAAACUUGAAAGCAAUACUAGUUUUGGUAGUGAUCCACCACCGAAGACUUGAAGGAAAAAAUUAAUGAUGUUGUGGAAUACCACAAAGUAUAUCAAUUGCGACAUCAAAAAGUGACAUCAAUUUAUUUUAUAGAUGUAAUCAAUAAUAAAGUCUUUAAAAAGUAGUUCUUUUACUUGAAAAACAAAUAAAACUCAAAAAAUAAUAAGAUUAUUACUUAAUAUCAUAAAGUAAAUAUACGAUAGAUUUACAUUAAAUUUCAUUACACAUAAUUCAUCGCUCUAAAUAUGACUUGGAUCAAAGUCACGCUAAUCACAUUACCGUUAAAGUUUUACCUUUUUAUUAUAAUUUAUCAAAAAAACAAAAAUAGAUUCAUUUCUCGGGAGGAUAAGUAUAAAUUAUUACUUGUAGUGUACAGUAUCCCAUUUUAAUAUGCAUUAAUUCUAUCGUAUUACACAAAGUUUCCUUCUUCAUUCAAAAAAAAUGGAAUUUUAUAUUUUUUUAUCAACUUUAUCAAUAUAUACAAUUGCUUUCAUUUGUCCCUGGUUGACUCUGGUAUUGUAUCUAUUAUAUAAAUCCUUCCUCUCUUUUCCCUUGUUCUUUGCAGGAGAAACUAUUUCAAUGGAUUUUGAGGCAGCAAGAGGAAUGAUCAUGGGUUACAACAACUGAUAUAGCUUCAUAUUUGCAGGUAUCUUCUGUAAUUUCUUGCUCUUAUUGUUUUGAUGAAUCUGCUUGGCUAAUGUUGAUUCUUUUACUUAAUGCUUCAACCAACAGUAUGUUUCUGCACCACUCCGGUGAAUUCAACCGUAGUGUCCAAACAGUUAAGCACUUAAACAGAUCAGUGUAUUUUGGUGUGUAGAAUAAUCAGAGUAAAAUUAUAGGUGAGAGGAUGAAGACGGUAGCAUAGGAUAGAAGAGAAGAGAAGAGACUAUUGGUUUUCUAGAAAUCCUAAUUAAUAGAUGCUUGAUACUAGUUGAGAAGUAUGUUUGGUGUUUUGGAUAGAAACGAAAGUAACAUAGUGUGUGGGAGAAUGAGGUGAUGGAAAGACUUAUCAUUUUCUAAACCCCCUAGACACAUGAUUGUGCACUAGUUGUUAUAAUCACACCUUCCUUAGAAGCAAUUGCUGUUGAGGUUGCUCCAUGUUCUCUACUGUCAAAUUUGCCCAAGCUCUGUCAGACAAUCAUAUAUUUUUUAAAAUUAAUAAGUUUGCUCAUUUUUGUUUUACGGUUUAUAGGAUUACUUUUUUCGUGAUUCAUUUUUAUUUUUCUUCAACUUGAAUUAAUUUAUUAAUUAAUUCAUUUUUUUAUUUGAAGCAAAAGUGAAGAGAUAUAUUUUCACAAACCAAUAUAUGGGAAUGAAAACCCCCUGGAUUCCUGCCCCGCAUAGGAAAAUAUGCUACAUAUGUUUUUUUACAGUUUUCUUUCAUGUCUUUGUUUCAUUUUUUGCGAUUUUCAUUUUAAUCAUGCAAUAAUUUUAAAAUAUAAAUAGUGUUAGAAGAUAAAUAAAUUAAAAAAUACAUGUCUCUUUUCAUUUAUAUAUUUUAUAUUUUUAAGCUGCCAUAGAAAAUUUCUUUAAAUUUUUUUAAUAAUACAUUAAAUAUUUUUGAAAAAUUAGUUUUAAAACAAUUUUUUAGAUUAAUUUCCUUAAAACAAUUUAAAAAUAAAUAAUAAACUCAAAAAAAAACUGAUAAAUAAUUAAUCAAAGUUUUACGUUAUUUUAUUAAUUUUACUUUAACAAUAUAAUAUUUUUGAAAAAUUGUUAUGCAUUCAUUUGUAUUUAAUUAGCUCCUUGCAUUUAUUUUAUAAAAUAAUUUGAAAGUUUAUUACUUUAUAAAAAAAAAGAGGUUUUUUUUUUAUAAUUGGAUCGAUGGUCGAAUCGGUCAAGCUACCGGUUUGUCGAUCAUAUUAAAAAAUCAAAAAUAAAAAUAUUGUUCAAUCGGUUUUUUAAUUAGUUCAAUUGAUACCUACCAAUUUAUGGUUCAAUUGAUUCUAUACCCUUUUCUGAACCAAUACUUUAACUUAUUCCCAUUUUGACUAAUCCAAUUCAAUUCAAACAUUAUUGAUGAAAUUUUAAUUUUGAAUUAAAAUAAACUUUUUCAAAAUUUCAAGAUUAUCCAUUAUUUUUAAAUUAAAAAUAUUUAAUUAAAAGGUAUUUAAUAUUAAAUAUAAUUACGUUAAUUGUUAAGGCAUAUCAUAUUUUUCUUUUGAUUGCUGCUUCACUAAAAAAAAACACUUUCUGUUUGGACCAGAUUUAGCAUCAGUUACUGUUUCCUGCUCCUCUUGCAACUAUUGGUUCAACAGAAGCUGCCAUUUAAUCUUCGAAUUAAUAUUUGGUACUGAUAUAGAUAAAGUUUUUAUAUUUGCUUAAACUGAAAUAUAUUUGGUGCUACUCUUAUAAUCUUAUAUGUGUCUGUAUUAGUGAAUUAAUGUUGUAUGUAUUUCAGUUACUGCUUCUUGCUCCUCUUGCAACUAUUGAUUCAACUGAAGCUACCAUUUAAUCUUCGAAUUAAUAUUUGGUACUGAUAUAGAUAAAGUUUUUAUAUUUGCUUAAACUGAAAUAUAUUUGGUGCUACUCUUAUAAUCUUACAUCUAUUCUAGGUAUUAUUGAGCACCUGAAUUAAUAUUUGGUGCAACUAAAUACACCACAGCCAUUGACAUCUGUUCUAG
rnacentral:lncRNA from 1 species